GGGCGCGGAGCAGAGCGCAGAGAGCGCAGCCGGAGCCGCGGCCCCGAUGGAGCGCUACAAAGCACAGGGGUGUUGCUGUCUGGUGGUACAGAGAAGGAUCCUGCAGGUUUCUGCCUCAAUCUGGAAAUACAGCAGAAGAGAGUGAAGAAUUUGGGUAGAAAACCAAAGGAUUGACUGCUUGACAGCAUCUUAAAUGCAAGAGACUUUUCCACAGUAAACACUGUGAGGGUGGAAGCUCUCCCUCUACUUAGAGAAAAGGGAAAGCAGUUCUCCUAAAACCCAGGCAGCAGAUGAGCCCAAGAGGGUCACGGAAUAGCAAAGCAUUAGCUCUGGGCUCCCACCCUGGGAACUCUGCUGCUACACACAUGGAUCUAAUGUAUUGAAUUUGGCAGCCUUCCUGCAAAUCUUUUUUCUUUUUUCU